UGUAGCAUAGUGGAGCACAUAAUCAAGAACAUUCAAACUGUGCAUUGUCAAAAAUGGGAUCUGCUGGCCAACGUGGUCAAGUACACCCAAGUGAGAAAUGUGUACCUUGGAAAAGAAUAAAUCUUGUCAGACCUGGAUCGAAAACAACAACAACCAAUUAUUGCAUUUUUAUCACAUUAUACUGUACUGGGUUUUAUUAUUUGCUCUAUGAACUCGUCCCCCUUCCACUUGUAUGAUUACAUUGAAUUUUAUCUCUAAUCGAAUUCAGUUGAGUCAAUAAGAAAUGUUUUAUUUUUCUUUUCAGCUACCAAAGCAGAGUAUACGGUGUUACGACUAAAAUCUGAGGAGCCAAACACACAUUUUCAAAAAUAAUUACACACUCCGAUAAGUUGAGACUUGUGGCAAGGACAUAAGAGAGUAUGUGGGAGGAAACAGGAGUGCUCGGAGAAAACCCACUGAGGCAGAGGGAGAACAUGCAAGCUCCACACGGGGAGGGCCAGGAUUGAACCCCGGUCCUCAGAACUGUGAGGCCAAUGCUUUACAGCUGCUCCACCGUGCCUGUACAUAACCAUAUAUAGUAUGUUUGUAUGUAACACAGUCAUAGACACAGAAACAAUGCAUGAGUUUAUCUGCUUAAAGUAAACAUUUCAACAUCCUGAGAAAAUGUGCUUUCAGCUCAAAGUUUUCUUUCCUGCUAGCAUUUGCACCGACAUCCUCAUCAAUCACUCAGCAGGCAAAGCAAACCGACGUCAUGAAGUUAUUUCAAAGAAUGCCAACCUUCACCGGUUAUUUACAUCACACGCUGGACCCUUUACACUAACUGCCUGACCACAAUGAGGAUGGAAGUGAACUCAUUAGUUUAACAUUAACAGGUAGGUGACACACUCCACUGAGAUGGACUCUUUGCUUUGUCUUGUUUCUUGUAAAUGGCUUGUUGGUGCAUUUUUUUUCCAAGUCUGUGACGGUUGUGCUUCUCAGCAGCACAAACUGAACAUUGUCUGUCCCGAAAUUGAUCAUUUAACCGCCUGUGUGUUGACUCAGUAAAAAUGCGGAGAAAUUAUCUAAUUUGUUUUACAGCAGCAGCUGACAUUAUUGUGACUUAUUACUGUGAGGAUGUGAGUCCCCA